GGGUGAGUACACGUGGGUAACCUGCCUGUAAGACUGGGAUAACUCCGGGAAACCGGGGCUAAUACCGGAUGCUUGUUUGAACCGCAUGGUUCAAACAUAAAAGGUGGCUUCGGCUACCACUUACAGAUGGACCCGCGGCGCAUUAGCUAGUUGGUGAGGUAAUGGCUCACCAAGGCRACGAUGCGUAGCCGACCUGAGAGGGUGAUCGGCCACACUGGGACUGAGACACGGCCCAGACUCCUACGGGAGGCAGCAGUAGGGAAUCUUCCGCAAUGGACGAAAGUCUGACGGAGCAACGCCGCGUGAGUGAUGAAGGUUUUCGGAUCGUAAAGCUCUGUUGUUAGGGAAGAACAAGUACCGUUCGAAUAGGGCGGUACCUUGACGGUACCUAACCAGAAAGCCACGGCUAACUACGUGCCAGCAGCCGCGGUAAUACGUAGGUGGCAAGCGUUGUCCGGAAUUAUUGGGCGUAAAGGGCUCGCAGGCGGUUUCUUAAGUCUGAUGUGAAAGCCCCCGGCUCAACCGGGGAGGGUCAUUGGAAACUGGGGAACUUGAGUGCAGAAGAGGAGAGUGGAAUUCCACGUGUAGCGGUGAAAUGCGUAGAGAUGUGGAGGAACACCAGUGGCGAAGGCGACUCUCUGGUCUGUAACUGACGCUGAGGAGCGAAAGCGUGGGGAGCGAACAGGAUUAGAUACCCUGGUAGUCCACGCCGUAAACGAUGAGUGCUAAGUGUUAGGGGGUUUCCGCCCCUUAGUGCUGCAGCUAACGCAUUAAGCACUCCGCCUGGGGAGUACGGUCGCAAGACUGAAACUCAAAGGAAUUGACGGGGGCCCGCACAAGCGGUGGAGCAUGUGGUUUAAUUCGAAGCAACGCGAAGAACCUUACCAGGUCUUGACAUCCUCUGACAAUCCUAGAGAUAGGACGUCCCCUUCGGGGGCAGAGUGACAGGUGGUGCAUGGUUGUCGUCAGCUCGUGUCGUGAGAUGUUGGGUUAAGUCCCGCAACGAGCGCAACCCUUGAUCUUAGUUGCCAGCAUUCAGUUGGGCACUCUAAGGUGACUGCCGGUGACAAACCGGAGGAAGGUGGGGAUGACGUCAAAUCAUCAUGCCCCUUAUGACCUGGGCUACACACGUGCUACAAUGGACAGAACAAAGGGCAGCGAAACCGCGAGGUUAAGCCAAUCCCACAAAUCUGUUCUCAGUUCGGAUGGGCAGUCUGCAACUCGACUGCGUGAAGCUGGAA
rnacentral:rRNA from 1 species